UUCGUAGGGGGCAAGCGUUGUCCGGAUUUAUUGGGCGUAAAGCGCGUGUAGGCGGCCAGGUAGGUCCGCUGUGAAAACCCGAGGCUCAACCUCGGGACGUCGGCGGAAACCAUUUGGCUAGAGUCCGGAAGAGGAGAGUGGAAUUCCCGGUGUAGCGGUGAAAUGCGCAGAUAUCGGGAAGAACACCCGUGGCGAAGGCGGCUCUCUGGGACGGUACUGACGCUGCGACGCGAAAGCGUGGGGAGCAAACAGG
rnacentral:rRNA from 1 species